rnacentral:rRNA from 1 species
AGUGGCGAACGGGUGAGUAAUAUAUCGGAACGUGCCCAGUCGUGGGGGAUAACUCAUCGAAAGCUGUGCUAAUACCGCAUACGAUCUCUGGAUGAAAGCGGGGGACUCGCAGGAGCCUCGCGCGAUUGGAGCGGCCGAUAUCAGAUUAGCUAGUUGGCGGGGUAAAAGCCCACCAAGGCGACGAUCUGUAGCUGGUCUGAGAGGACGACCAGCCACACUGGAACUGAGACACGGUCCAGACUCCUACGGGAGGCAGCUUGGGGAAUUUUGGACAAUGGGCGAAAGCCUGAUCCAGCAAUGCCGCGUGCAGGAUGAAGGCCUUCGGGUUGUAAACUGCUUUUGUACGGAACGAAACGGUCUGCCCUAAUACGGUGGGCUAAUGACGGUCCCGUAAGAAUAAACACCGGCUAACUACGUGCCAGCCCCCGCGGUAAUACGUAGGGCGCGAGCGUUAAUCGGAAUUACUGGGCGUAAAGCGUGCGCGCGCGGUUAUAUAACACAUAUGUGAUAUCCCCGGGCUCAACCUGGGAUCUGCUUUUGUGACUGUAUAUCUAGAGUACGGUAGAGGGGGAUAGAAUUCCGCGUGUAGCAGUGAUGUGCAUAGAUGU